rnacentral:rRNA from 1 species
GUGGGGAAUAUUGGGCAAUGGGCGAAAGCCUGACCCAGCAACGCCGCGUGAAGGAAGAAGGUCUUCGGAUCGUAAACUUCUAUCCUUGGUGAAGAUAAUGACGGUAGCCGAGAAGGAAGCCCCGGCUAACUACGUGCCAGCAGCCGCGGUAAUACGUAGGGGGCCAGCGUUGUCCGGAAUGAUUGGGCGUAAAGGGCGCGUAGGCGGCCUGGUAAGUCUGGAGUGAAAGUCCUGCUUUUAAGGUGGGAAUUGCUUUGGAUACUGUCGGGCUUGAGUGCAGGAGAGGUAAGUGGAAUUCCCGGUGUAGCGGUGAAAUGCGUAGAGAUCGGGAGGAACACCAGUGGCGAAGGCGACUUACUGGACUGUAACUGACGCUGAGGCGCGAAAGUGUGGGGAGCAAACAGGAUUAGAAACCCUUGUAGUCC